rnacentral:misc_RNA from 1 species
AACGGUCUAUACCUGCGGUACCUGCGGAGGGAUCAUUACCGAGUUAUCAACUCCCAAACCCCUGUGAACAUACCCGAACGUUGCCUCGGCGGGACCGCCCCGGCGCCCCUAGCGGCCCGGAACCAGGCGCCCGCCGGAGGACCCAAACUCUUGCUUUAAACAGUGGCAUACUCUCUGAGUCUCACAAACAAAAAAUAAGUCAAAACUUUCAACAACGGAUCUCUAGAUCGGAAGAGCACA